rnacentral:rRNA from 1 species
UACGGGGGGAGCAAGCGUUGUUCGGAUUUACUGGGCGUAAAGGGCGCGUAGGCGGCCACCGCAAGUCGGUUGUGAAAUCUCUGGGCUUAACCCAGAAAGGUCAAUCGAUACUGCGGGGCUAGAGUGCAGAAGGGGCAACUGGAAUUCUCGGUGUAGCGGUGAAAUGCGUAGAUAUCGAGAGGAACACCUGCGGCGAAGGCGGGUUGCUGGGCUGACACUGACGCUGAGGCGCGAAAGCCAGGGGAGCGAACGGG